rnacentral:sRNA from 1 species
GAAGAAAUGACCAUGGUGGCCUUCUCAGACCCUGUGGGAAAGGACUUUACCCAUCCAGUGAAAGUGUCUACCCAGACCAAGAGAUUGCUUCUUGACCUGUGCAACUUUCUGAUUUGAUGAGUUCAACAGAAACCAACUCAAGGGAGAAGAAUAAAGACAUUGUUGAACUUAGACUUUGACAAAAUGCAUAUUGGAUAUCUAAAUAGAGAUAUCAAGAAAUGAAGAUAUGAGUUUCCAGUUCCAGGGAGAAAUUCAGACUAGAAAUAUAAAUUUAGGAAUUUUAAAGUUAGUGGUCACAUUUAAAGCUGCAGAAUACAAAGAGAUCACCUGUGUGAGAGAACUGAGUCCUGAAACAUACCCAUGUUUAAAGAUCUGGGAGGUGUAGAGGAACUAUCAAAGGAGACUGAGAAGGAGCAGCCGGUGAGGUGUGCAGAAAAACAAGAUAAGCAAAAAGAAAAGUAAGAGAUACGGAACUGGACUUCCCUUUGGCAAAAAAUUUAGAAAAUGAUAAUUAGGAACAUCGAUUUCAGCAUACCUUAAGCCUUCUGAACAAAGAUUUGUCGAUACUCUCUUGGAAAAGUAUUUUUAAAAAUAGAAUAUUUUUAAACUUUCAUCCCAAUAGAAAGCCAAAGUUAAUGAGGAAACUUGGAUUCAUUUCACAAAAUGUUGCUUGUAAGCUACUUUGCUUGGCUACACGUUCCCUGGACAGACCCAAAAGACCAGGGUAAAUUCCAAUACUG